GAUGAACGCUGGCGGCGUGCCUAAUACAUGCAAGUCGAGCGAACGGACGAGAAGCUUGCUUCUCUGAUGUUAGCGGCGGACGGGUGAGUAACACGUGGAUAACCUACCUAUAAGACUGGGAUAACUUCGGGAAACCGGAGCUAAUACCGGAUGAUAUUUUGAACCGCAUGGUUCAAAAGUGAAAGACGGUCUUGCUGUCACUUAUAGAUGGAACCGCGCUGCAUUAGCUAGUUGGUAAGGUAACGGCUUACCAAGGCAACGAUGCAUAGCCGACCUGAGAGGGUGAUCGGCCACACUGGAACUGAGACACGGUCCAGACUCCUACGGGAGGCAGCAGUAGGGAAUCUUCCGCAAUGGGCGAAAGCCUGACGGAGCAACGCCGCGUGAGUGAUGAAGGUCUUCGGAUCGUAAAACUCUGUUAUUAGGGAAGAACAUAUGUGUAAGUAACUGUGCACAUCUUGACGUUACCUAAUCAGAAAGCCACGGCUAACUACGUG
rnacentral:rRNA from 1 species